UUUGAAUAUUCAUAAGAGAAU
rnacentral:piRNA from 1 species